GCCGGGCAUGGUGGCGUGUGCCUGUAAUCCCAGCUACUCAGGAGGCUGAGGUAGGAGAAUUGCUUGAACCCAGGAGGCAGAGGUUGCAGUGAGUGGAGAUCUUGUCAUUGCACUCCAGCCUGGGUGACAGAGUGAGACUCCAUCUCAA
rnacentral:SRP_RNA from 1 species